UAAAAUUUAUAAAUAUUUCAAUGGAAACCUUUACGUAUAGCACCAGACUGAAGUAGUACAGUGUUCGUUGUAUCCCGUAAAAUGGCCUGUUAUUUAAUCUUUUAUAGUAAAAAAUAUGAUUUUUUUUUUUUUAAUUUUUUAAAACAUUUAAAACCCUCGAUAAUAUGUUUUUAUUAUGAUUAUCUUUACUAAUGGUAUGUUCCCCAUAAAACAGUACUCAAAUAUUUCUUUAUUGAUGUCCCCCAUUUAGAAAGUCACAUCGUAUACGGAAAGUCACAAUUGAAUCGAAAUGUUUGUCUUAGCAUU